rnacentral:lncRNA from 1 species
CAAAGCUUCUGAACAGCAUUUGUCACUCCCUCCUGAGAGAUCCUGUAACUCUUGGUAUGUUCAUUCAUUCCAGAAACAUUUUUUUGAGUGCCUACUCUGUGCCAGGCACUGGGCUAGGCUAGAGAAUGUGGACUCUCUAUAACCGUGGCUUUUACGGGACAAUGUCUCCCAAGGCCCUGCUCCGGGCGGGAGACGCUCACCAGCUUCCUGUCCUGGCCGGUGGGGCAGAGGUUCCCCCAGCUCCUCUCCAGGAACAGCCCCGUUCCCACAGAGCCCGGAACUCACAUUUGCAGGGCAGCGCUGCCUGUGCCAAACAAAGUUCCCGCAAAGUUCUGUUCUCUCCAGAACGAGGACACUUGCUGGUGUGCCCAGGAGACAGAGUCCCAGGAUAAACGUGUCGUGUCUUUCUAGAAUGUUAAUUUCACUCAAGGAUUUGGAAGGGAAAGUUAAUUAGUGUAAGCUGAAAAGAAGACCUCAGAGAAUGUCGCGUUUGGAGCUUCACCGCGAGAUUCCUCAGACCUGGCCUCCCCUCUUCUGUCUUCGGAAGCUCUUGCUGGGAAGUCUGGUUGGCUGGGCUGCAUCCAAGUGAGAAUUUGGAUGGAUCAGAGGAGAUUUGAAGAGUAAACGCAUUUGCACAAUUGUUUUGGAUAUCUACUCUAACAACACUGUGGAAGUGAGGAGGGGGUACUGGAGCCCGUCUCCCCACAUUGAGG